CUUUCCAUUUCACAUAAUGAAACUUCAGGAAUAUAUUGCAAAUCAAACAACGUUCUUUGCUAUCCCUUCUUUUCCUUUGAACUUUGCUUCCAUACAGGACAAGACCAAGAAGUGCAAGAUGGGGAAAGUCAGCAUGCACCGAUGGUAAAAUAUUAAUGCUCCUUCAGAAUGAGAGGUGGAAUAAACCGCGUGCUUUUCUUCUACACGGCCCCAGGCCUGGAGAAAUAUAUUCCCAGAGACGAGGCACGGCUGUGACCCCUCAUGGCAGCGCAGGAUCCCCAGACUAUAGAUAUACCUUGAAGUGAUGCUCUCUGGCUGUUAAUGAGAGAAAAAGCGAGUGCUUUGCUGAAGAGGCUCUCUGAAGAGGAAACACGAGGGAUAGAGUUGUUCCUGUGGUGGUGAUGCCAUAGCCCCAGCCACAUGCCUCAUCUGAGCUGAAUGCAGAUGCUGUUUCACUGGGACAACCGUUGCCUAAAGCUGCACUGAGGACUCGGACCUGAGAAGUGGCUGAAAACCAUGCUCCUGAGGCAGGUGGAAGGAGAGUGUCAGCAGUGAUUUCAUCGGGAGAAGCAGCUUGUUAGGCACAGACAUCAGCUGUAAGUGGAAAUUUCAGGAGAGACCUUUUGUGGUAUAAAUGAUUCUAAAGUUCAUUGGUUACAUAACGUUUAUGUACUACAGCAAAUGACAUUGUCAUCAGCCUCCUCUGGUUUUAAGGAGGGUUGUGGGGAAGAAUUUCAAGAAAAAGGAGUUUUUGUAGACUUUGUCAACAGUGCUCUGAAUUUGCUUUGUGCUGGCUGAUAUGGAGCUGCAGUGUGUCUCAGCUGCAGGGGAUGUGCUGACCUUUAAUGCCCAUUUUCAGUCCUCAUUACAUCCUGAAAGGAUGGCUCCAUCCAUGCCCUGGGUUUUGCCCUGGCUGGUACCCUAUAGAUGAUGCCUGCUCUUACAGCACAUGAACCAGCUCAAGGAAGCCCCAAGUUCAACUGCUGCCAUUCCAGUCCAGAAGAUCCUAGACUUUGUGUUUUCAGUAGAAGAUACAGUUUGCUCCACCCGGUCUAACAGAAGUGCACUUCAGUACGUCAGUACAGGAGAAAAAUACAUCUCUGAGAAUAACAGCCUAGAAAAUGCAGCAGAGCUGUGCUGAUGGACCGGAGCAGCCAGGCCACUGGCAAUCAAAGAAAGCAGCAGCAGGUGAUCAAAUAUUCCCAGGUAAUUGACUACACUGCAGGCAUUGUAAUGAGCUCCCCAGCAGAAACAAGAUGAGCUGCUAAGCAGACACACCACUGAAAAUGCAAAACUGGUUCUGAAGUCAAGUAGAUAUUGUCAUGUAAGUAGAAAUCUGCUCCUUAUCCCUGUACAGGUUUCAAAAUGAAUAAUAACUAAGAUAAAAAUGGGUAGGAAAGAAUGUGAUGCAAAGUUCUUUGAUCUGCAUCUUAGAGGAAGAACUGAUUGUCACAAGGCCUACACUCAGCUUCCAGGUUGCUGAAAGAGGUUUGCAUAAGUGAAGGGCAGUUAUCAUGUUAUCUGCUGUCAUAUCAUGUUCAUCCUUUUCUCACUAGAAGUGUAUCUUAUAUAGGAGGUGGUGUACAACUUGCAGAAACAAUGUUAUGGACGAAGUGAUUUACCCAGAGAUGCCCACUGCAUUUAGCAUAUGGGAAGACUAUGGAACUUGACUCGAGCUAUGUUAAAUUUGCAUUAAUGUUGACAAUGUAGGUACAUUGAAAGAUCUAUGCAGUUAAAAUGAAUAUUUUUUAUGACUUUGCAGGGGUUGUGAAGAUAGCAGCAGCCAAGUAUGGGUAGUGCUAUGACCCAUUUCUAGGUUUUCUGAACCAUAACAUAAAAACAAGAAUAUUCCUUAGUUUUGGUGACUACAUUUUUGUCCAACAAGCCUUACACAGGCAGCCACACUAUGUGUUUAUCAUGGCACUCCUAGUCUUAAAGUAGAUAGGAUAAAACUAUGUUUGUUAAAGUUCACAGCAAAUUUUGUGGUGUAGACACAGAGAAAGACUGCUGUACUGAAUUCAUUUAAAGGACUUAUGUCUGUUUUGGUGUAGCUGUUAAAG